rnacentral:lncRNA from 1 species
UUUAAUCUCCAACAGAUAUAUUAAUUGAUUUAUUAAUUUUUUUUACCAAGAUAAAGUAAAUCGCAACCAUAGUUUCAUAAAAUAAUUUAUUUAAAAAUCAUACAUAAAUAUAUAUACUACACAGAUAUGAUACACCGUUAAGAUGGUCCCUCCUAACAUACCCGAUCUGAAACGCAAGGAAAACCAUUAUUGGAUGAGGAAAGUAAAUAAUAAUAUGGGAUAUUGUUUCAUUGUUUUGUUGAUUGAAUAGAAUUAGGAACUGCCAUUGAUUUUGCAUUGAUUUUACCUUGCAGGUCAAUUUGGCCUAUUUUAGAUUUUAAUGAAUACUGAGCACAUAUUAACUAUUUGUUUAUUUUGUUCAAAUCAUAAGGAUCAAUAAAUAAAUAGUGAUAAGAAUGUUAAUGUCAAUCUGGUCUGUCAUUUUUUUUUUGUAAAUUAUUGUUGCUAAACCAUGGCCUCAAGUUAUAGAUUGCUCCAUAGUUGCAAAUUACUUAAACCAAUGUUGGUACCAGAUAGUACCCAGUAGUUAAACCCAGCAUGUCAACACCUAGGUACUUGACAGAUAAAUGCAUUCCUUAAAAUUUGGAGGGAACUGACAAUCCUAUUUUUAAUAGAUUCAUUCUUUAUCUGGUUCUAGAGUAUGACAGAUAGUUUCGCUUAAUGCGGAUGUGAAAAGGUAGACCCUAUCUUAGCCUAAUUUUUUUUGUAGUUACUAGUAUGUGCUAGGAUAGCUUAAUUGCUGAUUUUCUAAGUAGGCCUAAGAGUUUAUAGGGCUCCUUGUUUUUGUUGUGUUAAAUAAACCCCAGAAAAGGCCACAUUCCAUCUUCGGCCUUCCUGUACCUUCUGCUUAUCCUCUGCUUCUGCUUUUGCUGCAUUUUUAUUGUUACUGCUUCCACCUCACUUGCUACUCCACGUGUUACCACAUCAAGUCGCUUGGAUCAUCACCUCCGGAACCUGCAUUCCUCCCAAUCGGC